rnacentral:rRNA from 1 species
AGUGGCGAACGGGUGAGUAACACGUGGGCAAUCUGCCCUGCACUUCGGGAUAAGCCCGGGAAACUGGGUCUAAUACCGGAUAGGACCUUUAGACGCAUGUCUUUUGGUGGAAAGCUUUUGCGGUGUGGGAUGGGCCCGCGGCCUAUCAGCUUGUUGGUGGGGUGAUGGCCUACCAAGGCGACGACGGGUAGCCGGCCUGAGAGGGUGUCCGGCCACACUGGGACUGAGAUACGGCCCAGACUCCUACGGGAGGCAGCAGUGGGGAAUAUUGCACAAUGGGCGCAAGCCUGAUGCAGCGACGCCGCGUGGGGGAUGACGGCCUUCGGGUUGUAAACCUCUUUCACCAUCGACGAAGGUCCGGGUUUUCUCGGAUUGACGGUAGGUGGAGAAGAAGCACCGGCCAACUACG